rnacentral:pre_miRNA from 1 species
GUAGUCGGAUUCACAUCAAUCUAUAUGUGUUGAGGUGGAUCGGAGUGGAACUUGAACUAAAUUCCACUUCAAUCCACACCAACACAUAUAGAUUGAAGUGAAUCCGACA